UACAGAGGGUGCAAGCGUUGUUCGGAUUCAUUGGGCGUAAAGGGUGCGUAGGCGGCGGGGCAAGUCAGGUGUGAAAUCCCGGGGCUCAACCCCGGAACUGCACUUGAUACUGCCUUGCUCGAGUACUGGAGAGGAGACUGGAAUUUACGGUGUAGCAGUGAAAUGCGUAGAUAUCGUAAGGAAGACCAGUGGCGAAGGCGAGUCUCUGGACAGUUACUGACGCUGAGGCACGAAGGCCAGGGGAGCAAACGGG
rnacentral:rRNA from 1 species